rnacentral:rRNA from 1 species
UCCGUUGUGAAAACUGGAGGCUUAACCUCCAGAUGUCGAUGGAAACCUCAUGGCUACAGUCCGGAAGAGGAGAGUGGAAUUCCUGGUGUAGCGGUGAAAUGCGCAGAUAUCAGGAAGAACACCCGUGGCGAAGGCGGCUCUCUGGGACGGUACUGACGCUGAGACGCGAAAGCGUGGGGAGCGAACAGGAUUAGAUACCCUAGUAGUCCACGCCGUAAACGAUGGGUGCUAGGUGUAAGGGGUGUCGACUCCCCCUGUGCCGCAGCUAACGCAUUAAGCACCCCGCCUGGGGAGUACGGACGCAAGGCUAAAACUCAAAGGAAUUGACGGCGGCCCGCACAAGCAGCGGACCCUGUGGUUUACUACGAAGCAACGCGAAGAACCUUACCUGGGCUUG